UGCCAAACUGCUGUAUUGUUACUGCAUAGCUGCUACUGCAUAGCUGCUACUGCAUUGCUGCUGUAUUGCUACGGCAUUGCUGCUGCUACUGCAUUGCUGUCUGCAUUGCUGUCUGCCACAGUUAUUACUGCAUUACUCCCUUACUGUAUUACUGCAUAGCUGUCUGCUGUAGUUCUCAGUUACAAUAGUUUAUUGUUUUGUAGGUUAUUUUAGUGGUUUAUUGUCUUGUAAGGUAUCUUGGUGGAUUUUGGUGAAUCGGGUUAACUAGUGGUUUUAUUUGGGUUUGGUUUGUUGGAUAGUGAUUGUAGUUGUAGUAGUAUAGAUUAAGUAGAGUUGAUUAGUCGUUUAGUUUUUUGUUUAUCUAGUUGUUUACGUAUAUUUUCUUUUGCACAUAUAUUUUUAUUGAUUUGUUUUUUUUUCCUCGUGUAAAUAAAGUGUAUAUAAGUUCA